rnacentral:lncRNA from 1 species
GCUGACCCGUUAAAUGAGCAAUCCUGUUAAGUGUGUUAAUCAGCAAGGCGCCAGUGAGCCAAGCAGAACGCUCUGGGAGAUACCUGGCGUGGAAACGGGUCUCUUCAUCCGCAGCAAUUCAAACUCUGUCAGUUCUUGAGUCGUAGUCCCUCUCUCCUAUCACUCUUAAAGAGAGGAGCUCCAGAGCUGCGUGACCUUGGAGACGCAUGUGGUCAGGAGCGCCUCAGGUGCGAGGCAUCAACAAUCAUUGUCUGGGUUCUAUCUCCGAGCGUAUCCUGGGGUCCCAGCUCUCCCGUAUGAUUGGCGGGACUGGAGAACCCUGAGACUUAAGGAUCUCUAAUCAGGGAGGGGUGGAAAAGAGGAGUUCUCUCUGGUACCAGGAAGCUCUUACUAUGAAUAUAAUCAGGUGGCUUGAAUCUUCAAUAACAUCAAGUUCUGGCCUUUGGGGGAGCCAAGCAGAUGAACUCCUGGCUGAACUAGAUACCUGUUUAAUGGUGUAAAUGGGGACCAGGAUAGCUGAAAAACUUUGCUUCGUGGCUUUCCCCGCCUUCACUGGCCCAGUUCAGCGCUAGCCAACCGAGUACCCGGCCUACUCCGGUACGGACGCUAGACGGCGCUGCUGGGACACGCUUUCCUUCUCCCGGAAAGCGCCUUUGGGCAUCCUCUUUGUCGCCCGGGAAGCUCGAGCCCGCGCUCUCUGGAACCCAGCUCUCCAUCUCGUCCUGGACCGAGGCCCAUCGCCCCAGACAUGGAACUGCACGCUUGAGCCCUGCUGGACGUCCCCGGCUGUUUUGCAAGAAGACUCGGACAGGUAAAGCCCAUUCUCAAAAUCGAACAGCUAGCUGGCUGAUGAGGGCCAGGGAAUAACGUACUGGGCUCUCAGGUGACAGCAGGGAGCAGGCAGGCAGGCUGUGGCCAAAGGGAGCUCUGCCUCUCUUGCAUCUGGUCCCCGCGCCAGGAAAUGCUGCCAGUUUCCUUUCCCGGCUUCAGCUCUCCCUGAAAGUUUAGGGACUAGAGCUCCCAAGGUCAGGGGCUCCUGGCCGCGCAGGAGGAGCGCGCGCCCGCGGUGCCAGGUGCCUGUGAGCCUGUGAGCUGCUGGAU